UUAAGCGACUAAGCGUACACGGUGGAUGCCCUGGCAGUCAGAGGCGAUGAAGGACGUGCUAAUCUGCGAUAAGCGUCGGUAAGGUGAUAUGAACCGUUAUAACCGGCGAUUUCCGAAUGGGGAAACCCAGUGUGAUUCGUCACACUAUCAUUAACUGAAUCCAUAGGUUAAUGAGGCGAACCGGGGGAACUGAAACAUCUAAGUACCCCGAGGAAAAGAAAUCAACCGAGAUUCCCCCAGUAGCGGCGAGCGAACGGGGAGCAGCCCAGAGCCUGAAUCAGUGUGUGUGUUAGUGGAAGCGUCUGGAAAGGCGUGCGAUACAGGGUGACAGCCCCGUACACAAAAAUGCACAUGCUGUGAGCUCGAUGAGUAGGGCGGGACACGUGGUAUCCUGUCUGAAUAUGGGGGGACCAUCCUCCAAGGCUAAAUACUCCUGACUGACCGAUAGUGAACCAGUACCGUGAGGGAAAGGCGAAAAGAACCCCGGCGAGGGGAGUGAAAAAGAACCUGAAACCGUGUACGUACAAGCAGUGGGAGCACAGAGCAAUCUGUGUGACUGCGUACCUUUUGUAUAAUGGGUCAGCGACUUAUAUUCUGUAGCAAGGUUAACCGAAUAGGGGAGCCGAAGGGAAACCGAGUCUUAACUGGGCGUUAAGUUGCAGGGUAUAGACCCGAAACCCGGUGAUCUAGCCAUGGGCAGGUUGAAGGUUGGGUAACACUAAUUGGAGGACCGAACCGACUAAUGUUGAAAAAUUAGCGGAUGACUUGUGGCUGGGGGUGAAAGGCCAAUCAAACCGGGAGAUAGCUGGUUCUCCCCGAAAGCUAUUUAGGUAGCGCCUCGUGAAUUCAUCUCCGGGGGUAGAGCACUGUUUCGGCAAGGGGGUCAUCCCGACUUACCAACCCGAUGCAAACUGCGAAUACCGGAGAAUGUUAUCACGGGAGACACACGGCGGGUGCUAACGUCCGUCGUGAAGAGGGAAACAACCCAGACCGCCAGCUAAGGUCCCAAAGUCAUGGUUAAGUGGGAAACGAUGUGGGAAGGCCCAGACAGCCAGGAUGUUGGCUUAGAAGCAGCCAUCAUUUAAAGAAAGCGUAAUAGCUCACUGGUCGAGUCGGCCUGCGCGGAAGAUGUAACGGGGCUAAACCAUGCACCGAAGCUGCGGCAGCGACGCUUAUGCGUUGUUGGGUAGGGGAGCGUUCUGUAAGCCUGCGAAGGUGUGCUGUGAGGCAUGCUGGAGGUAUCAGAAGUGCGAAUGCUGACAUAAGUAACGAUAAAGCGGGUGAAAAGCCCGCUCGCCGGAAGACCAAGGGUUCCUGUCCAACGUUAAUCGGGGCAGGGUGAGUCGACCCCUAAGGCGAGGCCGAAAGGCGUAGUCGAUGGGAAACAGGUUAAUAUUCCUGUACUUGGUGUUACUGCGAAGGGGGGACGGAGAAGGCUAUGUUGGCCGGGCGACGGUUGUCCCGGUUUAAGCGUGUAGGCUGGUUUUCCAGGCAAAUCCGGAAAAUCAAGGCUGAGGCGUGAUGACGAGGCACUACGGUGCUGAAGCAACAAAUGCCCUGCUUCCAGGAAAAGCCUCUAAGCAUCAGGUAACAUCAAAUCGUACCCCAAACCGACACAGGUGGUCAGGUAGAGAAUACCAAGGCGCUUGAGAGAACUCGGGUGAAGGAACUAGGCAAAAUGGUGCCGUAACUUCGGGAGAAGGCACGCUGAUAUGUAGGUGAAGUCCCUCGCGGAUGGAGCUGAAAUCAGUCGAAGAUACCAGCUGGCUGCAACUGUUUAUUAAAAACACAGCACUGUGCAAACACGAAAGUGGACGUAUACGGUGUGACGCCUGCCCGGUGCCGGAAGGUUAAUUGAUGGGGUUAGCGCAAGCGAAGCUCUUGAUCGAAGCCCCGGUAAACGGCGGCCGUAACUAUAACGGUCCUAAGGUAGCGAAAUUCCUUGUCGGGUAAGUUCCGACCUGCACGAAUGGCGUAAUGAUGGCUAGGCUGUCUCCACCCGAGACUCAGUGAAAUUGAACUCGCUGUGAAGAUGCAGUGUACCCGCGGCAAGACGGAAAGACCCCGUGAACCUUUACUAUAGCUUGACACUGAACAUUGAGCCUUGAUGUGUAGGAUAGGUGGGAGGCUUUGAAGUGUGGACGCCAGUCUGCAUGGAGCCGACCUUGAAAUACCACCCUUUAAUGUUUGAUGUUCUAACGUUGACCCGUGAUCCGGGUUGCGGACAGUGUCUGGUGGGUAGUUUGACUGGGGCGGUCUCCUCCUAAAGAGUAACGGAGGAGCACGAAGGUUGGCUAAUCCUGGUCGGACAUCAGGAGGUUAGUGCAAUGGCAUAAGCCAGCUUGACUGCGAGCGUGACGGCGCGAGCAGGUGCGAAAGCAGGUCAUAGUGAUCCGGUGGUUCUGAAUGGAAGGGCCAUCGCUCAACGGAUAAAAGGUACUCCGGGGAUAACAGGCUGAUACCGCCCAAGAGUUCAUAUCGACGGCGGUGUUUGGCACCUCGAUGUCGGCUCAUCACAUCCUGGGGCUGAAGUAGGUCCCAAGGGUAUGGCUGUUCGCCAUUUAAAGUGGUACGCGAGCUGGGUUUAGAACGUCGUGAGACAGUUCGGUCCCUAUCUGCCGUGGGCGCUGGAGAACUGAGGGGGGCUGCUCCUAGUACGAGAGGACCGGAGUGGACGCAUCACUGGUGUUCGGGUUGUCAUGCCAAUGGCACUGCCCGGUAGCUAAAUGCGGAAGAGAUAAGUGCUGAAAGCAUCUAAGCACGAAACUUGCCCCGAGAUGAGUUCUCCCUGACUCCUUGAGAGUCCUGAAGGAACGUUGAAGACGACGACGUUGAUAGGCCGGAUGUGUAAGCGCAGCGAUGCGUUGAGCUAACCGGUACUAAUGAACCGUGAGGCUUAACCUU
rnacentral:rRNA from 1 species